rnacentral:misc_RNA from 1 species
AACACACUCAAGUUCCAGUAAAGGGCACCAUUAUAACAGGUCUCUUUGCGGCAGCUCUAGCCUUCUUUAUGGAUGUUUCACAGUUGGCAGGAAUGGUAAGUGUGGGAACACUUCUUGCAUUUACUACUGUUGCAAUAUCAGUUCUGAUACUCAGAUAUGUUCCACCACAUGAGUCCCCACUUCCAUCUUCACUUCAAGAGGCUAUCAACUCAACAUUAUCACAGUUAGA